rnacentral:rRNA from 1 species
AGAGUUUGAUCAUGGCUCAGGAUGAACGCUGGCGGUAUGCUUAACACAUGCAAGUCGAACGGAGUACUUCGGUACUUAGUGGCGGACGGGUGAGUAACGCGUGAGAAUCUGCCUUCAGGUUCGGGACAACCACUGGAAACGGUGGCCAAUACCGAAUGUGCAGCAAUGUGAAAAAUUUAUUGCCUGAAGAUGAGCUCGCGUCUGAUUAGCUAGUAGGUGUGGUAAGAGCGCACCUAGGCGACGAUCAGUAGCUGGUCUGAGAGGAUGAUCAGCCACACUGGGACUGAGACACGGCCCAGACUCCUACGGGAGGCAGCAGUGGGGAAUUUUCCGCAAUGGGCGAAAGCCUGACGGAGCAAUACCGCGUGAGGGAGGAAGGCUCUUGGGUUGUAAACCUCUUUUAUCAGGGAAGAACCAAAUGACGGUACCUGAAGAAUCAGCAUCGGCUAACUCCGUGCCAGCAGCCGCGGUAAUACGGAGGAUGCAAGCGUUAUCCGGAAUUAUUGGGCGUAAAGCGUCCGCAGGUGGCUCAUCAAGUCUGCUGUCAAAGGCAGGGGCUUAACCCCUGAAAGGCAGUGGAAACUGGAGAGCUAGAGUGCAGUAGGGGUAGAGGGAAUUCCCGGUGUAGCGGUGAAAUGCGUAGAGAUCGGGAAGAACAUCGGUGGCGAAAGCGCUCUGCUGGACUGCAACUGACACUAAAGGACGAAAGCUAGGGGAGCGAAUGGGAUUAGAUACCCCCGUAGUCC